rnacentral:rRNA from 1 species
AUGGCAGCUGCUCCUUCUGCCUCUGCCGUUUCCGUCAGGCAGAGGACUGCCGCGGCAGCAUCGCCGCUGCUCCAGGAUCAGCAGCAAGAAAAGCAUGAAGCUGUUGAUCCGGUGCCACCGCCGCCGCCGCGAUCGACGCUGUACCAGGCGCUGACGUCGACGGCGAGCCUGGCCAACCUGCUCCCCACGGGCACGGUGCUGGCUUUCCAGCUGCUCGCGCCGACCUUCACCAACCACGGCGCCUGCGACGCCACCACGGCGCUGCUCACGCGGAUCCUCCUCGCCGUCCUCGCGCUCUCCUGCCUCCUCGCCUCCUUCACCGACUCCCUCAAGGGCCCCGACGGCCGCGUCUACUACGGCGUCGCCACCCUCAGGGGCCUCUGGCUGCUCGACUACCCGCCCGGCGCGCCCACGCCGCCGGACACGUCCAGGUACAGGCUGGCACCAAUCGACGCCGUGCACGCGGCGCUGUCGGUGGCCGUGUUCGGGGUGGUGGCGGCCAGAGACAAGAACGUUGUGCGGUGCUUCUACGGCCCGUCGCCGGCGAGAGAGACGGAGCAGGUGCUGGACAUCGUGCCGCUCGGCGUCGGCGUGCUCUGCAGCUUGCUCUUCGUCGCGUUCCCCACCAGGCGGCACGGCAUCGGCUACCCUGUCACCAACGGCGCCGCUGGCAGCAGCACCUGA